GAUACUAUUAGACUUGAAGUCGGGAGAGGUUAGAGGUACUACCGGGGUAGGGGUGAAAUCCUAUAAUCCUGGGAGGACCACCUGUGGCGAAGGCGUCUAACUAGAACGAUCUUGACGGUGAGUAACGAAAGCCAGGGGCGCGAACCGGAUUAGAUACCCGGGUAGUCCUGGCCGUAAACGAUGUGGACUUGGUGUUGGAAUGGCUUCGAGUUGUUCCAGUGCCGAAGGGAAGCUGUUAAGUCCACCGCCCGGGAAGUACGGUCGCAAGACUGAAACUUAA
rnacentral:rRNA from 1 species